GAUGAACGCUGGCGGCGUGCUUAACACAUGCAAGUCGAACGGAAAGGCCCAAGCUUGCUUGGGUACUCGAGUGGCGAACGGGUGAGUAACACGUGGGUGAUCUGCCCUGCACUUCGGGAUAAGCCUGGGAAACUGGGUCUAAUACCGGAUAGGACGAUGGUUUGGAUGCCAUUGUGGAAAGUUUUUUCGGUGUGGGAUGAGCUCGCGGCCUAUCAGCUUGUUGGUGGGGUAAUGGCCUACCAAGGCGUCGACGGGUAGCCGGCCUGAGAGGGUGUACGGCCACAUUGGGACUGAGAUACGGCCCAGACUCCUACGGGAGGCAGCAGUGGGGAAUAUUGCGCAAUGGGCGCAAGCCUGAUGCAGCGACGCCGCGUGGGGGAUGACGGCCUUCGGGUUGUAAACUCCUUUCGCUAGGGACGAAGCGUUUUUGUGACGGUACCUGGAGAAGAAGCACCGGCUAACUACGUG
rnacentral:rRNA from 1 species